rnacentral:lncRNA from 1 species
GAAAUAGGGCCAUUCUCCCUGGAGGGGCCCUUGUCCUUUCAUCCCACCGUGCUCAUGUCAUGCUCACGUCUCUGCUCAUGUUUCACUAUAACUCUGUCCAGCAUCUCCAUCCGGAACCGGAACCGGAACCGGAAAGGACGGUAGUGUAUGUCUGUGCCAUCGUGUCCUUUACUGCUCCUUUUUGUUGUUUUUGAGAUAGGGUUUCACACUUAGCUCAGGCUGAACUGAAACUCCUAUGUAGCCAAGACUGGUCUCAAAAUUCUUGUUUGCACUUUCCAAGUACUGGAAUUAGAUAUGAUCCAUCACGCCCAACUAGCCAUGUCCUUUAAACUGUUCUCUCAGCUCGCUCAUCAGAGGAAGUCUGCAGGGUGAAAUUCUCUGAGUUUAUGAAUUGAGCUGUGGACUCGAGCUAGGCAAAAGGAGCGCCCCCUCUCUCCCUUCAGAAAAUCUGUAUGUGAGAGUUGGUCUAAAGGCACCAAUGGGAAAGGUUCUGGAGAGCAAACUGCUCCUGCCUAGGGUAGUUUGCUCAAAGGGAUGAGUAAGGCUCUAGUCAUGCUGUUGCUUUGGCUGUGCAACCCAUAGACAAAGAUCUUCCCAGAGGUGUUGUGGGUCCCUUAGAACAAAAGUUCCCAGAAGCCAGGCAUGAAUGGAAUUGUUCUCAAGUCCCAGGGCUGGGUGGUUUUUGUUAUGGGAAGAGCCAAGAUGUCUCCCAGGAGAGACACAAAAGACAAUGGCUCAGUCACUAACUGACCUCUGUAUGUGUUUUCUUCCAAGGAGUGAGAAAAACUACAGACAAACGAAGAGUGAGGAAAAAAUUAUCUGGUUAAGGUGGCCACUGUGGCUUAGAAAUAUAUUAAAACAAGACACGUCCAAGAAAAGUGGGUAUGAGUUACAGGGUGAUACAUCUUUGGCAGAGAAGACGGAUGUUCAGGAUGAAUCAUGGGAGGUCGACAAAGAAGGCCCAGUGGAACCAAAAGAUACUGAAGAGGAGGCGCCUGAAACAUUGGAAGACGCAAAAUGAUCAGCUAUAGUUUAUUAAUAAAUUAUUUUUUGUAG